ensembl:lncRNA
GCCUGGAGCCUGCGGCGAGCCGCCCGCCCCCCGGAAACGGAAACGACCCCAGGAGCAGCGGGACUCCGGCGGGCGGACCACGCAGCCGUCGGGCUUCCCGGCUUCGUGAGCGCCUUCACUCUGGAUAAAAAGAUUUCCUCCAGGGGAGUCUUCCAAAGCGGUGAUGCAACCCACCCAGUGGGCAGAACUCGGAGCAGAACUCCAGAGUGGUGGAGGUGGUCCUCAAGCUCAGCCAGGCACUCGGUCCGAACCCUGAGAUUCUCCAUGAACCAGAGCCAGAGGCCGCUUUCCAGAAGCCAUGGUGGGAGUGAACUCUGGGUAAGAAGAUUUAUUCAGAUUCAGAGAGAAGCACUCUCCACAGAGUGUGGGCCAUCGCAGAGGAUUCAGAGGUCCUCGAGGGGAAGAGUCCUGGUGUACAGCAGGUGUUCAACGUACGCUCACGAGAUGGAUGAGUGAAAACAUACUCACGUUCAUCCCACAGCUGUAUUCAGUCUCUCACCACUCCACACCACUGUGUGCUAUGGAAGACUCGUGAUUUCAACUUCAUAAAAAUGAUUUUAUUAGUUUUGAAAAUAGUAAAAUAAAAAUAUUUUAUACCCAACACAAAAGUUAAAACAAUGCUUCAAAUCAGGAAAAAGAAAGCGAGGGGGCUUCCCUGGUGGUCCAGUGGCCGAGACUCCAAGCUCCCAGAGCACAGGGCCCGGGUUCGAUCCCUGAUCAAGGAACGAGACCCCACGUGCUGCAACUAAAGAUCUGGCGCGUCACAACUAAGGCCCGGCACAGCCAAAUAAAUAUUUUUUUAAAAGGAAAAGAAAAAAGUAAUUGGGAAUUAUGUGAAAUACUCUUUGCUGAACAUUCUUCCAGUUCUCCGUGUGUUGAACUGGUAGAAUAUGGCAUCCUAGGUAUGACUCUUGGGCGUAAAGAUUAUUU